GUCUAGGUGAAGUCAGAGGGGGUCGGUAGAGCAUCGCAGGCUCUAUGCAUAACUCCCUUUACCAUUUCUGGUAAAGGUUCACAUUAUCCCACAACACCAGAGUACAAAAGGGCAGUAUGAAUAAUAAAUAGCACAUAUCGGAAGCACACGUGGAACAACAAAACGUACAUGUGCCUUUACGAGUCAAUACGAUGCAAGCAAUAAUCUUU
rnacentral:lncRNA from 1 species